ensembl:lncRNA
UAGAACAUAAAAAAAUAUAAUACACAAGGUUCUAUUUAUUACCAUGGCAGACGGAACAAUGUGUUGUGUAAACAGAAAUAUACAUCCUGUGAUUUGAACUUGUGUGUAUUUACGGAGAUUAGAUAUAAAUCAAAUUGAUCAAAUAAAUUCCACUCACAUCCAAAUCCGCCAGAUGUGUUCAAAUCAUUGCAACACAGACACAGGAACAAUGUGUAUAGAUUUUUUUUCUCUGCUUUUAAUAUAUAUAUUUUUUUAAACAAAAAAAAUAAAUAACUGAUUAAAUCAAAUGUACAAUAGACAUUAUGCAAUCAUUAUGCACUUUUAACUACUUCUUCUGGUCCGCUCUGCACAGCUGUCACCGAAAAACAGAAGCACAAUGAGGGGAGAGUGGGGUCAUGGCACCGGGAGAAUAGGGUAAGGUGGGGCUGCAAGGGUAGGCUAGGACAGGGUUAGUUGGGCUGGUGAGGUAGGCUAGGAGGGGUUAAGUUGGGCUGGUGAGGAGGGGGUAAGUUGGGCUGGUAGUGUAGGUAAGGAGGGGGUAAGUUGGGCUGGUGAGGUAGGUGAGGAGGGGGUAAGUUGGGCUGGUGAGGAGGGGGUAAGUUGGGCUGGUGAGGUAGGUGAGGAGGGGUUAAGUUGGGCUGGUGAGGAGGGGGUAAGUUGGGCUGGUGAGGGGGGUAAGUUGGGCUGGUGAGGUAGGUGAGGAGGGGGUAGUUGGGCUGGUGAGGUAGGUGAGGAGGGGGUAGUUGGGCUGGUGAGGAGGGAAUCAGUUGGGCUGGUAGGGUAGGUGAGGAGGGGGUAGUUGGGCUGGUGAGGAGGGAAUCAGUUGGGCUGGUAGGGUAGGUGAGGAGGGGGUAGUUGGGCUGGUGA